rnacentral:rRNA from 1 species
GAUGAACGCUAGCUACAGGCUUAACACAUGCAAGUCGCAGGGUAACAUGAGGACAGCUUGCUUUCCUUGAUGACGACUGGCGCACGGGUGAGUAACGCGUAUCCAACCUUCCCAUAACUACGGGAUAACCCGUUGAAAGACGGCCUAAUACCGUAUGAUAUCGUUUGCUGACAUCAAAUAACGAUUAAAGGUUUAGCGGUUAUGGAUGGGGAUGCGUCUGAUUAGCUUGUUGGCGGGGUAACGGCCCACCAAGGCGACGAUCAGUAGGGGUUCUGAGAGGAAGGUCCCCCACAUUGGAACUGAGACACGGUCCAAACUCCUACGGGAGGCAGCAGUGAGGAAUAUUGGUCAAUGGGCGAGAGCCUGAACCAGCCAAGUAGCGUGCAGGACGACGGCCCUAUGGGUUGUAAACUGCUUUUAUGUGGGGAUAAAGUGCGUGACGUGUCAUGCAUUGCAGGUACCACAUGAAUAAGGACCGGCUAAUUCCGUG